CCUACGGGAGGCAGCAGUGAGGAAUAUUGGUCAAUGGACGCAAGUCUGAACCAGCCAUGCCGCGUACAGGAAGACGGCCCUAUGAGUUGUAAACUGCUUUUGUACGAGGGUAAACGCAGAUACGCGUAUCUGUCUGAAAGUAUUGUACGAAUAAGGAUCGGCUAACUCCGUGCCAGCAGCCGCGGUAAUACGGAGGAUUCAAGCGUUAUCCGGAUUUAUUGGGUUUAACGGGUUCGGAGGGGGAUUGUUAAGUCAGCGGUAAAAUCGUGGGGCGAAACCCCAUCCAGCCGUUGAAACUGGGGAUCUAGAGUGUGCGAGAGGUAGGCGGAAUGCGUGGUGUAGCGGUGAAAUGCAUAGAUAUCACGCAGAACCCCGAUUGCGAAGGCAGCAUACCGGUGCACAACUGACGCUCAGGCACGAAAGCGUGGGUAUCGAACAGGAUUAGAUACCCUUGUAGUC
rnacentral:rRNA from 1 species